rnacentral:lncRNA from 1 species
CACAAUUUAACGACGGAUGCCAGAGGACUCACGUUAUGCUCCAGCAGUGGCCUGCGGACGCCGGUACAAGACGAACCAGGUUGCCAGUUUAAUCACCUGACAGAUAGUGUCACGCCUCAGACUAAUAGCAAAUAAUUCGAACCGGUCAGUACAGACAUGCCACUUCCUUCCCCCGUGAACCAUCAGCAGUUUAGUAGUACGAGCACAGGUAAGCCGCCUUGUCUAGUUUUUCUGGGCUCUGGCAAGUGGCGAGACCCAAUGUCUUGAAGAUGAUUCCUCCAACCGAUUCUCACGGAAAGAAGACGAUAAAGGAAAUGGCAGAGGAUAAAACUGUGAUAUGUUCAUGCACAAAAGUAACAAAGAAACAAAGACGACACCUUAAAUUCUCUGUGACGUUACAAGCCAGUGCUCCCCACAAAUGCACGUGAGUUGGGGGGGCCUGGUCCCGAAGCCAUUUUCCUUCUUUCACUCGACCUUGCUGAAGCAGAGACGAUGGCCAUGGACAUCGUUAUUUAAACCCCCUUCUUUCCCUCAUCAAAGCCACAUACUCUAUCCCCUGCCUUUCAUCAUUCCUUCUUUAUCUAUCGUCUUCCAAACACAUACAGACAUACAAAUACACACACUCUGAAGCUGAACGAGAGAUAGAUACAAAGUUACAAGCACAAAGAUGAGGCUUGAGCUAAAAGGUCUCACCUUCCUGCUGCUUCUUGUCUUGCUUGUUCUUUGCUCCAGCGUUCAUCUAUGCGAUGCAAGGAGCGGCAAGCAUUGGAGGCACAGCAGAGCGCCCUCCACCUCUCUGCUGAGGGGAAAAGGGAAAGCAAAGAGCAGUAGUUCCCACAAGCAAAAUGGCAAAGGGAAUCAGAGUCCAUACCAGCAAAGUCCGAUCGUGCCUGUCAGCCCGAGUGGAAGCCCUGC